rfam:Camelus ferus unplaced genomic scaffold scaffold1675, whole genome shotgun sequence.
GGGGUUAUAGCUCAGUGGUAGAGCAUGUGCUUAGCAGGCAUGGGGUCCUGGGUUCAAUCCCCAGUACCUCCA